rfam:Lingula anatina scaffold1742, whole genome shotgun sequence.
CAAACAGCCCUUUUUAGGGCCACUUCAUAUUGAGAAAAGUAUUUAU